GGCCCACCUCGGUGCGCUGGACCUGGGCCUGCAGCUCGGCCACCCGCCUCCUGGAGCUGGAUGUGGCGGGGAGAGAUGCUCCAGUAGUUGAAGGCGAGGGACGAGGCACCACGAGGAGCACCCAGCAGCACGAAGGAGGGCAGGCGGCCGCCGCGCGGGGGUUGGCCCCGAAUCCCACCAGGAGGCCGAGCUGGGCCCGCGAGGACGCCUGCGAGCAGGAGCUCCCGGCUCGGGCCGGGCUGCCAAGAUGAGAAGACUGAGCUCAAGAAAACUCAGAAAAGAAAAAAAAGCAAAGAAAAAAAGAAACCUUCCCCAGGAUAGUACAGUUGCCCCAACACCUGUAAUGUUUUUAUUUAUUUUCCAAACAAGUUGGGUCCACUUUGUCCAGAAUAUUGGGUCCUCUUGAACGCGUUCAGGUUGGAGAUCACAUACCACCUCCUUAUAGAAGUCUCUCAUCCAAAGUAGCAUUGUGUGCCCACCGGUACACAGAAGAAUGAGUAAACAGAGGCAUCUCAUGGUCAUGCUCACUCCCUAAAGUUGCUCCCCUCAUCCCCAAAGCCCGGAAUGAUUUCCUCACCUGGAUCAAGUCCUCUUUGACCCCCGAGGGUGCCACCUUCUCUGAACACAUGAGCCGGUCUGUCCUCCCCUGACAAGCGGCUCCAGUCCUGAUGUGAUCUCUUCCUCUCACUCUCGCCUUUCAGUUCUCUGGGCUGGGUGGACAGAACUAAGACACAGUCCUCCCUCCACUUGCAGGGGAAGCAGAUACAUUCGUAGCCGACAAGGCCAACACAGGGGGAGAGCCACGGACCAGGGACACAUGUGGCCACUGGGGCAGCACCCAGAGCAAAAAUAAAGAUACAUGUGCAAGGUUGAGGGUUGGCUCAGUAGAGCGAAGCCAAGGAAGAGAUGUGGCCUCGAACCGAUCGAAAUUCAACAUCAACAUUUUCUGAAAGGUGCACCGUGGUGCUGGUUUCAACUGCUGGCACCAUCAAGCGGUGGUUAUGUGACCUUGGGAAAAUGGCACAACCUUCCAGCUCCAGUUUCCACCUAGGUAAAAAUCCCACCCGUCUCAGGGCGUCAUUGUGAGGAUUAAAAUGAAAUACCUUAAGACCAUAACGGUAAGGGAAAUAAAUCAGACAUAUAAGUUUAGAUAUGGCAUGGUUUCUCUUAUUCGAGAAAUGCAAAUUAUAAAUAAAGAGCAAAAUAAAAGAUAGACAACAGGAAGUAGGGAGACACUGUAGAUCUUUCUCACAUUGGAAGGGGAUCAAGAGAUGGAGGGUGGGGCUGGGGAUUUAGCUCAGUGGUUCCGGCGCCUGCCUAGCAAGCGCAAGGUCCCGAGUUCAAUCCCUGGUACCAAAAAAAAAAGAGAGAGAGAGAAAUAGAGGGAGGAAGGAGAAAGGGGAGGGGAAGGAGAUGAAAAGGGAGAAAUAAGGUGUGUUAUAUACAUGUACCAAUUCUAUACAGAGAAUGUAAACUUUAUAUGCUGCAAACAUGUACUAAUAAAAAAUAAAUGAACAAAAUACAAAAAAUGAAAUAAUGUGUGCACAGUGGUUAGCUCUAUUUCUGGCAUAUAAUAUACAGUUAGUAAAUGGUACUUCUAAUUAUUAUUUUGUCGUUUUGGGGGCAGGGUCUCUCUAUGUGGUUCAGGCUGGUCUUGAACUCACCAUGUAGCCCAGGCUGGCUUUGAACUCCCAGUUAUCCUCCUGCCUCAGUCUCCUGAGAGCUGGCAUUAGUAGGCACGUACCAUCAUACCCUGUUAGGGUAGUUUCAAUUGGCAUGACAGUGAAGUUCCCUCUGCCUUAAUCCUUACUCAAAAAAGGUAACCUAAUGUUAAGUAACAAGUUGUUUUUCUUUGCUCUGUCUCCCUGUCCAUGCUUUAGAAGAAAGUAAUUUUGAAAUACCAGUCUGCUUUUCAUAUCUUGUUUGUACUUUCUUUAGCCUAUUUCUGUCUAUAAAAUCAACCUCCUUUUCUUGGUCAUUGGAAAACUUAUUCUAUUUGGUGGAAUGAAGUGUGGCUCCAUUCUAGUAUCAAAAAUAAAGCCAAAUUUGUUUGUUGAUUUAUUUAUUUUAGAUUGUUUUGAGACAGAGUCUUGCUGUGUAAUCCAGGCUAGCCUAGAACUCACUGUGUAGUCCAUGCUGGCCUCAAAUUUGCACCAAUCCUCCUGCCUCUGCCUCCCGAGUGCUGGGAUCACAGGUGUGGGCCACUACACCCGGCUCAGCUAAAAACCUUGAUAGAACAUUAGACAGC
rnacentral:lncRNA from 1 species